rnacentral:lncRNA from 10 species
AGCCAGGAUGGUCUUGAUCUCCUGACCUCGUGAUCCGCCUGCCUCGGCCUCCCAAAGUCUGGGAUUACAGGCGUAAGCCACCAUGCCCGGCCUAAUUUUUGUAUUUUUAGUAGAGAUGGGGUUUCACCGUGUUGGCCAGGAUGGUCUCGAUCUCUUGACCUCGUGAUCCACCCGCCUCGGCCUCCCAAAGUACUGGGAUUACAGGCGUGAGCCACUGCGCCUGGCUUAGUCCACCUAUUUCUAAUGUGACUGGGUCAUUCAUCAACCUCUGUGAUAUGGUUUAGCUGUGUCCCCACCCAAAUUUUUUUGACUGUAGCUCCCAUAAUUCCCACGUUGUGGGAGGGACCCAGUGGGAGAUAACUGAAUCAUGGGGGCGUUUUCCCCCAUGCUGUUCUCAUGGUAAUAAGUCUCACAUGAUCUGAUGAUUUUAUAAGGGGUUUCCCCUUUCACUUGGUUUUCAUUCUCUCUGGCCUGCCACCAUGAGACAUGCCUUUCACCUUCUGCUGUGAUUAUAAGGCCUCCCCGGCCACAUGGAACUGUGUGAGUCUAUUAAACCUCUUUUUCUUUGUAAAUUACCCAGUCUUGGGUAUGUCUUUAUCAACAGUGUGAAAAUGGACUAAGACACCCUGUCAACAUCAUCUCUCUGCUCCAGUGCUGCAUCUUCAGGAGCCCAGGUUCCAGAUAAAUGAACUGUAGUGGCAGCCAGUGGCCAGGAGAUACCGGCAACCUAAAUAUAGUUUUCUUUUCGUUUCUUUUUUUUGGAGAGAGUCUCGCUCUGUCACCCAGGCUGGAGUGCAAUGACAUGAUCUUGGCUCACUGCAACCUCCGCCUCCCAGGUUCAAGUGAUUCUCCUGCCUCAGCCUGCUAAGUAGGUGGGAUUACAGGCACGUGCCACCACGCCCGGCUCAUUUUUGUACUUUCAAUAGAGAUGGGGUUUCAGCAUGUUGGUCAGGCUGGUCUCAAACUCCUGACCUCAUGAUCCGCCCACCUCGGCCUCCCAAAGUGCUGGGAUUACAGAUGUGAACCACCUAAUCUGGCCUUUUUAUUUAUUUAUUUAUUUAUUUUGAGAUGGAGUCUUGCUCUGUUGUCCAAGCUGGAGUGCCAUGAUACAAUGACAGCUCACUACAGCCUCAACCUCCCAGGCUCAAGCAAUCCUCCCACCCCAGCCUUCCAAGUAUCUAGGGCUAUAAGUGUGCACCAUCACACCUGGCUAUUUCUGUAUUUUUUGUAGAGACAGGGUCACUAUGUUGCCUGAGCUGGUCUCAAACUCCUGGGCUCAAGCAGUCCUUCCACUUUGGCAUCCCAAAGUGUUGAGAUUACAGGCAUGAGCCACUGUGCCCAGCCUAAUUUUUACUUUUGAACCUUGUAAAUUGUCAAACAUACACACACAAGGCAAUUCCAAGGUUUGGUUGAUUUGACUGGUAAAGAUAGGAGGAGGCACUUUUAGAUUUAGAUGGUUUCUUACAUAGACAGUGAAAAGAAAAGGAAGACCAAAGAGCCAGCUUCUCAGGUCCUUGUUUCAUACACCAAAAAGGACAACACUGAAACAAAAAGGACUGGAUGACCCCAGUGUGAGUUGUGGGAUAUUCUGUUGCUGGGGAAUCAAAUCUAGACUGUAGUAGCUAAGUGGCUUUUUUGUUGUUUUUAAAUUUUACUUAUUGAAGGGGUGGCCUGCCCCUCCACACCUGUGGGUAUUUCUAGUCGGGUGGGAUGAGAGACGGAGAAAAGAAAUAAGACACAGAGACAAAGUAUAAAGAAACAACGGUGGGUCCAGGGGACUGGUGCUCAGCACACCAAGGACCUGCACCGGCACCGGCCUCUGAGUUCCCUCAGUUUUUAUUGAUUAUUAUUUUUCAUUAUUUCAGCAAAAAGGAAUGUAGUAGGACAGCAGGGUGAUAAUAAGGAGAAGGUCAACAAAUUACAUGUGAGCAAAAGAAUGUAUAUCACGAUUAAGUUCAAGGGAAAGUACUAUGCCUGGACGUGCACGUAGGCCAGACUUAUGUUUCUCUCCACCCAAACAUCUCAGUGGAGUAAAGACUACAAGGCAGUAUCACUGUAAACAUGUCUCGCCUCCCGCCACAGGGCAGCUUUUCUCCCAUCUCAGAGUUGAACAAAUGUACAAUCGGGUUUUAAGCCGAGACAUUCAGUUCCCAGGGGCAAGCAGGAGAUAGUGGCCUUCCUCCAUCUCACCUGCAAGAGGCUUUCCUCUUUUACUAAUCCACCUCAGCACAGACCCUUUACAGGUGUCGGGCUGGGAGACAGUCAGGUCUUUCUCAUCCCACGAGGCCAUAUUUCAGACUAUCACAUGGAGAGAAACCUUGGACAAUACCCCGCUUUCAAGGGCAGAGGUCCCUGCGGCUUUCCACAGUGCAUUGUGCCCCUGGUUUAUUGAGACUAGAGAAUGGCAAUGACCUUUACCAGAUGUACUGCUUGUAAGUAUUUUGUUAACAAGGCACGUCCUACACAGCCCUAGGUCCCUUAAACCUUGAUUUUAUACAACACAUGUUUUUGUGAGCUCCAAGUUGGGUCAAAGUGGCUGGGUCAAAGUGGCUGGGACAAAGCUACAAAUCAACAACAUCUCAGCAAAGCAACUGUUUAAAGUACAGGUCUUUUUCAAAAUGGAGUCUCUUAUGUCUUUCCUUCCUACAUAGACACAGUGACAGUCUGAUCUUUCUUUCUUUUCCCUACAACUUAUUAUUAUUUUUGAGACAGAGUCUUGCUCUGUCACUGGCCUGGAGUGCAGUGGCCCGAUCUCGGCUCACUGCAACCUCCACCUCCGAGGUUCAAGCAAUUCUCGUCUCAGCCUCCCAAGUAGCUGGGAUUACAGGCACCUGCCACCACAUCUGGCUAAUUUUUUGUGUUUUUGUAGAGACAGGGUUUCACUAUGUUGGCCA